rnacentral:rRNA from 1 species
UGGGGAAUCUUGGACAAUGGGCGCAAGCCUGAUCCAGCCAUGCCGCGUGGAUGAUGAAGGCCUUAGGGUUGUAAAAUCCUUUCGUUGGGGACGAUAAUGACGGUACCCAAAGAAGAAGCUCCGGCUAACUUCGUGCCAGCAGCCGCGGUAAUACGAAGGGGGCUAGCGUUAUCCGGAUUCAUUGGGUUUAAAGGGUGCGUAGGCGGACUGAUAAGUCAGUGGUGAAAUCUCUCGGCUUAACCGAGAAACUGCCAUUGAUACUGUUAGUCUAGAGUACAGAUGAUGUGGGCGGAAUAUGACAUGUAGUGGUGAAAUACUUAGAUAUGUCAUAGAACACCGAUUGCGAAGGCAGCUCACAAAACUGUAACUGACGCUGAGGCACGAAAGUGCGGGGAUCAAACAGGAUUAGAUACCCAAGUAGUCCCUGAGCGGGCUGGCAAGGCGCAU